CUGCGGAAGGAUCAUUACCGAGUGCGGGUCCUUUGGGCCCAACCUCCCAUCCGUGUCUAUUGUACCCUGUUGCUUCGGCGGGCCCGCCGCUUGUCGGCCGCCGGGGGGGCGCCUCUGCCCCCCGGGCCCGUGCCCGCCGGAGACCCCAACACGAACACUGUCUGAAAGCGUGCAGUCUGAGUUGAUUGAAUGCAAUCAGUUAAAACUUUCAACAAUGGAUCUCUUGGUUCCGGCAUCGAUGAAGAACGCAGCGAAAUGCGAUAACUAAUGUGAAUUGCAGAAUUCAGUGAAUCAUCGAGUCUUUGAACGCACAUUGCGCCCCCUGGUAUUCCGGGGGGCAUGCCUGUCCGAGCGUCAUUGCUGCCCUCAAGCCCGGCUUGUGUGUUGGGUCGCCGUCCCCCUCUCCGGGGGGACGGGCCCGAAAGGCAGCGGCGGCACCGCGUCCGAUCCUCGAGCGUAUGGGGCUUUGUCACAUGCUCUGUAGGAUUGGCCGGCGCCUGCCGACGUUUUCCAACCAUUCUUUCCAGGUUGACCUCGGAUCAGGUAGGGAUACCCGCUGAACUUAAGCAUAUCAAUAA
rnacentral:rRNA from 1 species